AAAAAAAAAGAGUCAUUUUCCUAAAGCCAGACGCCCACCUGUAUAACGAGAAGAACACAUUUCAGUCUUUUUCAUUACAAGUGUUGAAGUUGGGAGACCGCCCAUAGAACAGAGGAAUACAUUUCAGUCCUUACAUUUCAAGCAUUGAAGUUAGGCGCCCACCUGUAUAACAAGGGAAUACAUCCUAAUCUAGUGUUUAGUUCACUCUCAGCACUGCAUCAGUAGUAUCAGUGGGCUACGAUUUUGCUAACGACUCACAAACCUCCCCAGGGCAAACUGGGUUAGGAAAUUUUGUUUGUUUUAUUUGUUUUGAUUGUCAGGGACCCGCCUGUAGAACGGAGUUUGUGGUAUGUCAAAGAUCGAAGAAGUCAGGAGUCCGCCUGUAAAAGAUCAAGCAGUGACCCACUGGAAAGCAGAAGGAUUACAACAGAAAUCCCCAGCAUUCAAUCCAAGUUAGAAGCUCGCCUCAAGAACGCGAAUCAAUAGUCUGGGAUGGUCAACAAAAGCUAGUCACAAAAACAAAACAAAAAAAGAAGAAAAAUGAAUGAAUCCAAAGCACGGAAGUGGAGAACAGAUGUGAUCUGCUCAAGAACUAGCGCCUACAACUAGCAAGUAUCAAGGUUCAAAUCCAAAGUCUGUAUGAAGCACCAUUCAAAACUCAAGACCAAGUUUCAGAAGACUUAAGAGAUAGGAAUCCUUGUAACUAGUAGCUGAUAGGCUUAGUUAGUCUUUUUCAGUUUACAUUUUUGUUGUAAUAACAGGACCGCGGACCGGAACCUCGACGGAACGGCACCUCGAUCGGCUCUCCACUUCGGUACACCUCACUAUCUCUCUCAUAUCCCGAACUACACGUGGCCUGAUUCCUGUAUAACCAAGGAUAUGUAGGCAGCUCAGAUACCAGGGCUCGGUCAUAAUCCCUCCCUUUCCUUAAGUGUAGUCCGUCCAAGUAAUGGUCGGGUCAAAAACACGGCUAGUCGUUCUUUGUCGGAAAACUCUUCGUGUUUCCAGUCAAAGAGGGGCAGCUGUAAGCACGUGAUUUUUGACCCUCCCCGAGAAUUUUCACAUUUUUAGCGUGAAUAUGUGAAAUUGGG
rnacentral:lncRNA from 1 species